rnacentral:misc_RNA from 1 species
AAAGACAAGAAGCAACUAGGUGACUGAGCCGUUGAAGGGAGAGCCGAAUUAGUAAAUGAUGCUGGUGAAGAAGGCGGAGCUAAAAGUGAUGGAGCUAGUGUCGUAGUUUGGUUGGUCAGACCACCAGCUUGUGCUCCAUUUGGCUGCACUGAUGCCGCAUUACCAUCAGGAAUACGAGAUGCAGGCACAAUACGUUUUCCACCUUUCUGCAAGCCAAAACAAGAAAACGCACCCCAGCAUCCUCCCCAUCUCUUACGC